rnacentral:rRNA from 1 species
AUGCCUGUAUCAGUGUCCGUACAUCAAACUUGGCUUUCUUCCUUCCGUGUAGUCGGUGGAUGGAGACGCCAGAUGUGA